rnacentral:rRNA from 1 species
UACGUAGGGCGCAAGCGUUGUCCGGAAUUAUUGGGCGUAAAGAGCUCGUAGGCGGCCUGUUACGUCUGCUGUGAAAUCCCGGGGCUUAACCCCGGGCGUGCAGUGGAUACGGGCAGGCUGGAGGCAGGCAGGGGAGAACGGAAUUCCCGGUGUAGCGGUGAAAUGCGCAGAUAUCGGGAGGAACACCGGUGGCGAAGGCGGUUCUCUGGGCCUGUACUGAAGCUGAGGAGCGAAAGCGUGGGGAGCGAACAGG